UUUACUUUUGUGUAUUUAUGAAGUUGUGCUCAUGUAAUAUAAUAUAUUACAUGAAAUACAAAUUGUUUUCAAACCAAUACAUAGUUAUUCGUUAAGCAAAUCUGUUAUUUAAUCAAAUUUCUUUAAAUAAUAUAGUUUUAUUUAAACAAUGUGUAAUAAUACCAAAGAAGAAGAUAUUGUUGAAAAAUGGGGUUUGCCAUUAAAAGAAUUAUAUACAUUGGCGCUUAAGUUUUUUAAGGCAAACAAUAUCUGUUGUACCGAUUCAACUGUCAACCAUCUUCAUCUAAAUCAAUGGAAAAUUGAAGAAAUAAACUUAUAAAACUAGAAAAAAAAUAAAUUAAUGUAAAUGUAAAGUCUUUAAUAUAAAAAUAAAUGGAAAUUUGUAAGGUAAAUGUACAAAUAAUAAACAAUUUUUUUUUUAUUCGAAUCCUAUUUGAUAUUGUAUUUUUUUUAUUUUUUAUGUAAAGCAUACAAUUCACCACUCAAAAAAAAGUUUUACUUCACCCGUGCGUACUUGCAACACGUAUACUUUUUUUUCAUUUCCGAGUAGUUAUAACAUGAAAAAUUUUUUUUUCGAGUUGAUUAAUAUAAUGACAUUAUUUUUACUAUUUUUGUUUUUGUUUUUCUCAAUUGUUUUAUUGUAAGUAAUAACGAUUUUUAUUUAUGACUCUAUAAGUACCUACCAAUUAGAUCCAAUUUUCUAAUAGACCCCACCCUUGAAGAUGAAAAUUGAAAAAGUUUUAUUGCUCCAAAUGAUGACUAAAAUAAUUUUUAAAAAAUCACACACACACACGCACUCAUGAUUGGUAAAACUUAUACUUUCAUUAUUGCUCUACUCGGAUUAUAAGAAUUUUAGCAUUGAUCUAUCUAAAUUAGGGAUUAUUCGCUAUGUACGUAAUAAUACUCAACGUUAAAGAAGAAAAAAAAAUCUUAUCAUUUAAUGAUACUUCAUUAAUAUAUGACACUAUGAACUUAUACUAUACUACAAAUUCAAUACAUAAUUACACGAUUAUAUUAUGUUAAAUGUAUAUUUUUUGUUUAUAAUAUGUUGUAUUGUCGAACGAGUGAAAAUGAAAAUUCUGAGAAUCCUAUCACAACACCUUGUCAUGAUAAAAGAACCGGUCUCGAUGGCAGGGUUUCACAUGAAGAUGAUGCGCAAAAGGACCAAUUUUAGUCGGAGCACGAUAUUAUGUUCACUUGGUGGACAAGAGAAAUUAUUAAAUUUCACAUACAAAGUACAAAGUAUAAGUUUUAUGCUGUAUCUAUGGUAUAAAUUGUGGAUGACACUUUAAAAGAAAUAAUCAACUCCGUUGAUCGCUACGUCUGUCAUUAUAAAAAUCAAUUGGCUUUUCUUCGCACUAUAUCAACAUUAUAAUUGACUAUCGCGUUGACAAACAAACGCCUAACUCUCAAAAGCAACUUAAAUUCGGGUGUAUAGGUAACAAAAAUAUUAAACUUAUAGUGUCGAAUAUAAAUACAAUGAAAAUACUGAUACUAAACCACACAAAUUGUAAUAUUAAAUUCUAAUGAACAAAUGGAAUCAGAAAUAGUUAAAUUUUUUAAUUAAUAAUUUUAACUGUA